rnacentral:rRNA from 1 species
GACAGAGGUGCCGAGCGUUAGGCGGAAUCACUGGGCGUAAAGCGCACGUAGGCGGCUUGUUAAGUCAGGGGUGAAGUCCUGGAGCUCAACUCCAGAACUGCCUUUGAUACUGGCGAGCUUGAGUCCGGGAGAGGUGAGUGGAACUGCGAGUGUAGAGGUGAAAUUCGUAGAUAUUCGCAAGAACACCAGUGGCGAAGGCGGCUCACUGGCCCGGUACUGACGCUGAGGUGCGAAAGCGUGGGGAGCAAACAGG